AAAAAUCGCAGCCUGCGGCAGCUCUCACAGGAAACACACAAUCCCUGUGUAGGAGCUGCCGCAGGCUGCGAUCUUU
rnacentral:antisense_RNA from 1 species